UACGUAGGGUGCAAGCGUUAAUCGGAAUUACUGGGCGUAAAGCGUGCGCAGGCGGUUGUGCAAGACCGAUGUGAAAUCCCCGGGCUUAACCUGGGAACUGCAUUGGUGACUGCACGGCUAGAGUGUGUCAGAGGGGGGUAGAAUUCCACGUGUAGCAGUGAAAUGCGUAGAGAUGUGGAGGAAUACCGAUGGCGAAGGCAGCCCCCUGGGCCAAUACUGACGCUCAUGCACGAAAGCGUGGGGAGCAAACAGG
rnacentral:rRNA from 1 species